rnacentral:rRNA from 1 species
GAUGAACGCUAGCUACAGGCUUAACACAUGCAAGUCGAGGGGUAACAAGAGGAAAGCUUGCUUUUCUUGUUGACGACCGGCGCACGGGUGAGUAACGCGUAUCCAACCUGCCUAUAACUAGGGAAUAGCCUUGCGAAAGUAAGACUAAUACCCUAUGAUUUCCUUUGAUGACAUCAGAUUAGGAAUAAAGAUUUAUCGGUUAUAGAUGGGGAUGCGUCUGAUUAGCUUGUUGGCGGGGUAACGGCCCACCAAGGCAACGAUCAGUAGGGGUUCUGAGAGGAAGGUCCCCCACAUUGGAACUGAGACACGGUCCAAACUCCUACGUGAGGCAGCAGUGAGGAAUAUUGGUCAAUGGGCGGGGGCCUGAACCAGCCAAGUAGCGUGCAGGAUGACGGCCCUAUGGGUUGUAAACUGCUUUUAUACAGGAAUAAAGUUAGCCACGUGUGGUUAUUUGUAGGUACUGUAUGAAUAAGGACCGGCUAAUUCCGUGCCAGCCGCCGCAGUAA